UUAAGUGACUAAGCGUACACGGUGGAUGCCUAGGCAGUCAGAGGCGAUGAAGGGCGUGCUAAUCUGCGAAAAGCGUCGGUAAGGUGAUAUGAACCGUUACAACCGGCGAUACCCGAAUGGGGAAACCCAGUGUGUUUCGACACACUAUCAUGUCAUGAAUACAUAGUGGCAUGAGGCGAACCGGGGGAACUGAAACAUCUAAGUACCCCGAGGAAAAGAAAUCAACCGAGAUUCCCCCAGUAGCGGCGAGCGAACGGGGAGGAGCCCAGAACCUGAAUCGGCUUGUGUGUUAGUGGAAGCGUCUGGAAAGUCGCGCAGUAAAGGGUGAUAGCCCCGUACACUAAAAUGCACAGGUCGUGAGUUCGAUGAGUAGGGCGGGACACGUGACAUCCUGUCUGAAUAUGGGGGGACCAUCCUCCAAGGCUAAAUACUCCUGACUGACCGAUAGUGAACCAGUACCGUGAGGGAAAGGCGAAAAGAACCCCGGCGAGGGGAGUGAAAUAGAACCUGAAACCGUGUACGUACAAGCAGUGGGAGCACCUUCGUGGUGUGACUGCGUACCUUUUGUAUAAUGGGUCAGCGACUUAUAUUUUGUAGCAAGGUUAACCGUAUAGGGGAGCCGUAGGGAAACCGAGUCUUAACUGGGCGAAUAGUUGCAAGGUAUAGACCCGAAACCCGGUGAUCUAGCCAUGGGCAGGUUGAAGGUUGGGUAACACUAACUGGAGGACCGAACCGACUAAUGUUGAAAAAUUAGCGGAUGACUUGUGGCUGGGGGUGAAAGGCCAAUCAAACCGGGAGAUAGCUGGUUCUCCCCGAAAGCUAUUUAGGUAGCGCCUCGUGAACUCAUCUUCGGGGGUAGAGCACUGUUUCGGCUAGGGGGCCAUCCCGGCUUACCAAACCGAUGCAAACUCCGAAUACCGAAGAAUGUUAUCACGGGAGACACACGGCGGGUGCUAACGUCCGUCGUGAAGAGGGAAACAACCCAGACCGCCAGCUAAGGUCCCAAAGUCAUGGUUAAGUGGGAAACGAUGUGGGAAGGCAUAGACAGCCAGGAUGUUGGCUUAGAAGCAGCCAUCAUUUAAAGAAAGCGUAAUAGCUCACUGGUCGAGUCGGCCUGCGCGGAAGAUGUAACGGGGCUAAACCAUGCACCGAAGCUGCGGCAGCGACGCUUAGGCGUUGUUGGGUAGGGGAGCGUUCUGUAAGCCGUUGAAGGUGGCCUGUGAGGGUUGCUGGAGGUAUCAGAAGUGCGAAUGCUGACAUAAGUAACGAUAAAGCGGGUGAAAAGCCCGCUCGCCGGAAGACCAAGGGUUCCUGUCCAACGUUAAUCGGGGCAGGGUGAGUCGACCCCUAAGGCGAGGCUGAAAAGCGUAGUCGAUGGGAAACAGGUUAAUAUUCCUGUACUUGGUGUUACUGCGAAGGGGGGACGGAGAAGGCUAGGCUAGCCGGGCGACGGUUGUCCCGGUUUAAGCGUGUAGGGGGUGUGACCUGGUAAAUCCGGUUGCAUAUCAACCCUGAGGCGUGAUGACGAUGCACUACGGUGCAGAAGUAGUUGAUGCCCUGCUUCCAGGAAAAGCCUCUAAGCUCCAGGUAACAUUAAAUCGUACCCCAAACCGACACAGGUGGUCAGGUAGAGAAUACCAAGGCGCUUGAGAGAACUCGGGUGAAGGAACUAGGCAAAAUGGUGCCGUAACUUCGGGAGAAGGCACGCUGGCAUGUAGGUGAAGUCCCUUGCGGAUGGAGCUGAAGCCAGUCGAAGAUACCAGCUGGCUGCAACUGUUUAAUAAAAACACAGCACUGUGCAAACACGAAAGUGGACGUAUACGGUGUGACGCCUGCCCGGUGCUGGAAGGUUAAUUGAUGGGGUCAGCCGCAAGGCGAAGCUCUUGAUCGAAGCCCCAGUAAACGGCGGCCGUAACUAUAACGGUCCUAAGGUAGCGAAAUUCCUUGUCGGGUAAGUUCCGACCUGCACGAAUGGCGUAAUGAUGGCCAGGCUGUCUCCACCCGAGACUCAGUGAAAUUGAACUCGCUGUGAAGAUGCAGUGUACCCGCGGCAAGACGGAAAGACCCCGUGAACCUUUACUAUAGCUUGACACUGAACAUUGAGCCUUGAUGUGUAGGAUAGGUGGGAGGCUUUGAAGCGUGGACGCCAGUCUGCGUGGAGCCAUCCUUGAAAUACCACCCUUUAAUGUUUGAUGUUCUAACUCGGCCCCAUAAUCUGGGGUGAGGACAGUGUCUGGUGGGUAGUUUGACUGGGGCGGUCUCCUCCCAAAGAGUAACGGAGGAGCACGAAGGUUAGCUAAUCACGGUCGGACAUCGUGAGGUUAGUGCAAAGGCAUAAGCUAGCUUGACUGCGAGAGUGACGGCUCGAGCAGGUACGAAAGUAGGUCUUAGUGAUCCGGUGGUUCUGAAUGGAAGGGCCAUCGCUCAACGGAUAAAAGGUACUCCGGGGAUAACAGGCUGAUACCGCCCAAGAGUUCAUAUCGACGGCGGUGUUUGGCACCUCGAUGUCGGCUCAUCACAUCCUGGGGCUGAAGUAGGUCCCAAGGGUAUGGCUGUUCGCCAUUUAAAGUGGUACGCGAGCUGGGUUUAGAACGUCGUGAGACAGUUCGGUCCCUAUCUGCCGUGGGCGUUGGAAGAUUGAGAGGGGUUGCUCCUAGUACGAGAGGACCGGAGUGAACGCACCACUGGUGUUCGGGUUGUCAUGCCAAUGGCAUUGCCCGGUAGCUAAGUGCGGAAAAGAUAAGCGCUGAAAGCAUCUAAGCGCGAAACUUGCCUCAAGAUGAGUCUUCCCUGGGCUUUUAAGGCCCCUGAAGGAACGUUUAAGACUAAGACGUUGAUAGGCUGGGUGUGUAAGUGCAGCGAUGCAUUGAGCUAACCAGUACUAAUGAUCCGUGAGGCUUAACCUU
rnacentral:rRNA from 1 species